UGUAUCUCUCUCUCCAUAUCUGUCUCCCUGUUUCAUUCACUGUUGUCUGCAUCAGGCUCUGGGUUGAAGUUUCCCCCAUGGUACAGAUCCAGUAUCAGCUUCCCUCCCCCAAUCCUUCCCUUAACCAUUGGUGGGGAACAAUGUUAAACUGACCCAAGAUCAGUAUCUAGGGACAACGUCACCCUUCUCUCUAUGUUGUGUGGGAAAAGGCCUGCAUAACCUGUUAUCUUCUGUUCCACGAACUAUAUCCCCAGAGACCAGUUGGCUCUAUUAUAGCAACCUGUUACAGUGAUAAUAACCGGUGAUCUUGUGUUCCCAGAUCAGUGAUAUCUGUUUCCAGCUGACCCCAUGACAGUCAUUGUCUCAUCAUCAUGAGAUCACGCCACCUCUUCCUCCUGAUCUACCUCACAGCUCUCUGCUGCUACUGGGGAGCAUCAGAUGCACAACGAAAUGAUACCUGCCUUACACAAGAACUGUGUACUCAGG